rnacentral:rRNA from 1 species
GCCUAGCCUUAAACAAAGAUAGCUCAUUACCCCACUAUCCGCCAGGGAACUACGAGCAUUAGCUUAAAACCCAAAGGACUUGGCGGUGCUUAAGAUCCACCUAGAGGAGCCUGUUCUAGAACCGAUAACCCCCGUUCAACCUCACCCUCCCUUGUCUUCCCCGCCUAUAUACCGCCGUCGUCAGCUUACCCUCUGAAGGCCCAAUAGUAAGCAAAACUGGCAUAGCCUAAAACGUUAGGUCGAGGUGUAGCGCAUGAGAGGGAAAGAAAUGGGCUACAUUCCCUAACAUAGUGAAUACGGACAAUGAACUGAAACAUUCAUUUGAAGGAGGAUUUAGCAGUAAGCAGAAAAUAGAGCGUCCUGCUGAAACCGGCCCUAAAGCGCGCACACACCGCCCGUCACUCUCCCCAAGCUAUUAACUUUACAUUACUAAUACCCCACAACUGCAAAGGGGAGGCAAGUCGUAACAUGGUAAGUGUACCGGAAGGUGCACUUGGAAAAAUC